rnacentral:rRNA from 1 species
GACGAACGCUGGCGGCGUGCUUAACACAUGCAAGUCGAACGAAGUGGCGAACGGGUGAGUAACGCGUAAUCAACCUGCCCUUCAGAGGGGGACAACAGUUGGAACCGACUGCUAAUACCGCAUACUGAAGGAGGGGAUUGCGUCUGAUUAGCUAGUUGGGGGGGGAACGGCCCACCAAGGCGAUGAUCAGUAGGCGGUCUGGGGGGGUGGACGGGCAAAUUGGGACUGGUGAAAGGGCCAGGCUCCCACGGGGGGGAGCAGUGGGGGAAGUUGCGCAAUUGGCGGAAGUCUGACGGAGCAAAGGCGGGGGGGUGAUGGCGGCCUUCGGGGUGGAAAGCUCUGUUAAGCGGGGCGCGGUACCGGAAUAGAAAGCCACGGCUAACUACGUGCCAGCCGCCGCGGUAAUUC